UGCAGUCGAGCGAACAGAUGAAGUGCUUGCACUUCUGACGUUAGCGGCGAACGGGUGAGUAACACGUAAGGAAUCUACCUAUAAGCGGGGGAUAACAUUCGGAAACGGGUGCUAAUACCGCAUAAUAUCUUCUUCCGCAUGGAAGGAGAUUGAAAGACGGCUCUGCUGUCACUUAUAGAUGACCUUGCGGUGCAUUAGUUAGUUGGUGGGGUAACGGCCUACCAAGACGAUGAUGCAUAGCCGACCUGAGAGGGUGAUCGGCCACAUUGGGACUGAGACACGGCCCAAACUCCUACGGGAGGCAGCAGUAGGGAAUCUUCCGCAAUGGGCGAAAGCCUGACGGAGCAAUGCCGCGUGAGUGAAGAAGGCCUUCGGGUCGUAAAACUCUGUUAUAAGAGAAGAACAAAUUGUAGAGUAACUGCUACAGUCUUGACGGUAUCUUAUCAGAAAGCCACGGCUAACUACGUGCCAGCAGCCGCGGUAAUACGUAGGUGGCAAGCGUUGUCCGGAUUUAUUGGGCGUAAAGGGAGCGCAGGUGGUUUCUUAAGUCUGAUGUGAAAGCCCACGGCUUAACCGUGGAGGGUCAUUGGAAACUGGGAAACUUGAGUACAGAAGAGGAAUG
rnacentral:rRNA from 1 species